UACGGAGGGUGCAAGCGUUAUCCGGAUUUACUGGGGUUAAAGGGUGCGUAGGUGGGUCUGUAAGUCAGUGGUGAAAUCUUCAAGCUUAACUUGGAAACUGCCAUUGAUACUAUAGGUCUUGAAUUAUCUGGAGGUGAGCGGAAUAUGUCAUGUAGCGGUGAAAUGCUUAGAUAUGACAUAGAACACCAAUUGCGAAGGCAGCUCACUACGGAUGUAUUGACACUGAGGCACGAAAGCGUGGGGAUCAAACAGG
rnacentral:rRNA from 1 species